AGAGUUUGAUCCUGGCUCAGGAUGAACGCUGGCGGUAUGCUUAACACAUGCAAGUCGAACGGGAUACUUCGGUAUCUAGUGGCGGACGGGUGAGUAACGCGUGAGAAUCUGGCUUCAGGUUCGGGACAACCACUGGAAACGGUGGCUAAUACCGGAUAUGCCUGUAUAGGUGAAAGAUUAAUUGCCUGAAGAUGAGCUCGCGUCUGAUUAGCUAGUUGGUGGGGUAAGAGCCUACCAAGGCGACGAUCAGUAACUGGUCUGAGAGGAUGACCAGUCACACUGGGACUGAGACACGGCCCAGACUCCUACGGGAGGCAGCAGUGGGGAAUUUUCCGCAAUGGGCGAAAGCCUGACGGAGCAAUACCGCGUGAGGGAGGAAGGCUCUUGGGUUGUAAACCUCUUUUCUCAGGGAAGAACAAAAUGACGGUACCUGAGGAAUAAGCAUCGGCUAACUCCGUGCCAGCAGCCGCGGUAAUACGGAGGAUGCAAGCGUUAUCCGGAAUUAUUGGGCGUAAAGCGUCCGCAGGUGGCAGUUCAAGUCUGCUGUCAAAGGUCAGGGCUCAACCUUGAACAGGCAGUGGAAACUGAACAGCUAGAGUGCGGUAGGGGCAGAGGGAAUUCCCAGUGUAGCGGUGAAAUGCGUAGAGAUUGGGAAGAACACCGGUGGCGAAAGCGCUCUGCUAGGCUUGCACUGACAUUCAGGGACGAAAGUUAGGGGAGCGAAUGGGAUUAGAUACCCCAGUAGUCCUAGCCGUAAACGAUGGAUACUAGGCGUAGCUUGUAUCGACCCAAGCUGUGCCGUAGCUAACGCGUUAAGUAUCCCGCCUGGGGAGUACGCGCGCAAGCGUGAAACUCAAAGGAAUUGACGGGGGCCCGCACAAGCGGUGGAGUAUGUGGUUUAAUUCGAUGCAACGCGAAGAACCUUACCAGGACUUGACAUGUCGCGAACCUUCUUGAAAGAGAGGGGUGCCUUCGGGAGCGCGAACACAGGUGGUGCAUGGCUGUCGUCAGCCCGUGUCGUGAGAUGUUGGGUUAAGUCCCGCAACGAGCGCGACCCUCGUUUUUAGUUGCCAGCAUUAAGUUGGGCACUCUAGAGAGACUGCCGGUGACAAACCGGAGGAAGGUGGGGAUGACGUCAAGUCAGCAUGCCCCUUACGUUCUGGGCUACACACGUACUACAAUGCUACGGACAAAGGGCAGCAAGUUAGCGAUGACAAGCAAAUCCCAUAAACCGUGGCUCAGUUCAGAUUGCAGGCUGCAACUCGCCUGCAUGAAGGCGGAAUCGCUAGUAAUCGCAGGUCAGCACUACUGCGGUGAAUACGUUCCCGGGCCUUGCACACACCGCCCGUC
rnacentral:rRNA from 1 species